rnacentral:lncRNA from 1 species
AACCAAGACUUGAACCCAAGUUUUGAUAUCAGGAUUCACCCAUCCUUUAACCAUUAUACAACAAAAUAUUCGCUUUCCCUUUCAACAUUUCUUCUCAAUACCCUAACUUUCAUCAUUCUCCACGUACUGUAUUCUGUCGGAUACCAGGACACUCGUAAGGACACCCAAGCCGUCCUUUAUCCCUGCCAUUCCCCGCAGACACUUGGCACACCCCUGCCUCUCCCCCCCCCCUCCUCCUCCUCCUCCUCCUCCUCCUCCUCCUCCGGGUGGCAGGACCCCCAUCCUUCUCGGAGCCGCACCCAACGUCCACACCUCCCCGCAGUCUGGUUCUCCAUUCCCAACUGCCACCCACACCCAUGCCCACCAGUGACCUUCUCACUUCUCAUCCAAACCUCCCUCCUUCAUCCUCCUCCCCACGCCCGUUCCGGCCCUCCCCUCCUUCUCAUCCAAUCCCAAUUUCCAGGCACACGCCCCCGCCCCCGGAUCCAUCCCGAGCCGUCCCACCCCAGGCUCGCUCCAGGCCUUCCCGCCUUCGUCGCCAGCCCCCACCGCUCCGCCCGAUGCCGGAGAACGGCCUCGACCCGGCCUGGCACUCACCGCCGAGGAGCCGAUCCGAGCGGGCCCGCGGGACGAGGCGGGGCGGGAGACGCGCAGGUUGUUCCCUUCAGGCGUCCAGCGAUGCGGCGGCCAUUUUGUUGUGUUGUGCCGGUUGCCCAGGGGCCGCGCGCGCGCGGCGUGGGCGGGGCCUGCCGCGGCCACGCCUCUCCUGGGGCCGUUGAGUGGGCGGGGCACGGCUUCCCGCCGCCUUUGCCGCCCCGAACCGUGGCGCCCUGGGUCGCGGGGCGCCUUGGCGUCCUUGGCUGCCUGAGGACGCGAGCUUUCCUGCUGCAGUCGCCGACUAGCCCAUCUCCCUUCCCUGGGGCGAAGCCGCAGCUGCCUCACGCCAGACCUCGGACACGCUCCUGGUGGGCUGAGCCGGAGGCCGACCUGAGAGACCGACUUAGCGCAGUCGCCGCGCAACCGCCCUUUCGGUGCUGGCCGCAGCUUCUGGCGCGGCCUGUUUCUGAGGCGAGGGCUCUCCUUCCGGGACCAGUCAGGGAGCGAGCCGGGCCCGGGGAACCGGGCAGCGAACGUUCUCGUGCGCUGUGCAGAAUAUUCCUCCGGCUGGGGACCGAGAAGCAAAAGCAAGCAGCCUCUGAGGAGACGUGGGUUAGGGCUUUCCUGAAAGUGCUACGUUUCACCACAUACAUUCAGCAUUCAUUUAAGUAG